rnacentral:rRNA from 1 species
GAUGAACGCUGGCGGCGUGCCUAAUACAUGCAAGUCGAGCGAACGGACGAGAAGCUUGCUUCUCUGAUGUUAGCGGCGGACGGGUGAGUAACACGUGGAUAACCUACCUAUAAGACUGGGAUAACUUCGGGAAACCGGAGCUAAUACCGGAUAAUAUUUUGAACCGCAUGGUUCAAAAGUGAAAGACGGUCUUGCUGUCACUUAUAGAUGGAUCCGCGCUGCAUUAGCUAGUUGGUAAGGUAACGGCUUACCAAGGCAACGAUGCAUAGCCGACCUGAGAGGGUGAUCGGCCACACUGGAACUGAGACACGGUCCAGACUCCUACGGGAGGCAGCAGUAGGGAAUCUUCCGCAAUGGGCGAAAGCCUGACGGAGCAACGCCGCGCGAGUGAUGAAGGUCUUAGGAUCGUAAAACUCUGUUAUUAGGGAAGAACAUAUGUGUAAGUAACUGUGCACAUCUUGACGGUACCUAAUCAGAAAGCCACGGCUAACUACGUG